rnacentral:tRNA from 1 species
UGGCUCAGUGGUUAAGAGCACUGGCUGCUCUUCCAGAGGCCCUGAGUUCAAUUCUCAG